GCUUCAAAUCUUGGGCCUCUUAUUGUUAGCCCAAUUAUUAAAUGAAAAUAAUCCAAUUUAUCAAAGUCCAAUUAGCAAAUAAAAUUGAAUCAAAUGCCCAAAUCAACUGAUACCAUUUCUCCUUUUCCGAUUUCUUCAAUUCUUCCUUCGCUAUUGUUCGCCCCUGCCUUGCACUGGCUGCACACGAGACACGCCGGUGCAGGACCGCCGAUUCGUCCCUGGUCAUAUGGUCGAUUCUUAUAUUCUUGUAUUAUCUAUCUUUGUGUGUUUAUUUAAUAGGUUAAUUUUGUAUGGUACUUAAAUAAUGAAAAAUUUCUCUCGAAGUUUUGGAUUUAAGGGGGUUUUUUUUUUUGGUGAAUCCCGAUUCUGUCACGUGUAAUUAUAAGUUCGCCAAAUUGUUUUCAAUGUCUAUUAUGAAUUUGUGACAUUAUGUCUUUAAUUAGAAAUGGAUUUUUUCCCCCAAAUUUGUAUUAUGUAUUUAAUUAGCAAGUACAGAGGUUCGUAUUAGUCUUGGUCUAACGCUUUCUCUUUUGACUUGUUUUACCCAAAUUUGUUCACUGUAAUGAACAAGAAAAGAGGUCUGUACCUGCACAUGAGAGUGACGAGACACUUCUUCCUUUGCUGGUCGCCCCUACUCCUGUUUAAUCACAUAAUUCUUUGUCCACUUGGCGAGCAAAUUCUUUGGUUGGAGCCAAUAUUAAUGCCAAAGGAUUCCUUCCUAAGGUCAGUGACUUACUGUUAAAUAUGUUAUGAUUUAUUCAUUUGGGAAUUAAAAAAUUGUGAAUUGUGAUUUAUGAAUUAUGAUAAGUAAUUUACGUUUUAUGAGUUAUGAUUAUUGAUAUGAGAAUUUAUGUUUACGAAAUUA